CUCAAUUCUAUACCUCUUUUGAAAUUGGAGUUGUUUGAAGACCUUAAAAGGCCAGGUUUGGUCUCGGCCUCUUGCUGACUAGCCAUUAGCUUCAGCCUCCAGGACCGACGAAUUUGGAUUUAUACUAAAUGAAGAUGCCAAGAGUGUCAUCGUCUGCAGCCGCAGCAAAAUAUCUGAACCGUACAUGAGAACAUGGCAUGGUUUUAAGUUAAAUACAUGGAAGCAGUUUGUGGAAAAAGACCAGAGCAGGCUGAACAGGUGGACAAAUGUUAUCUUCUAAGUGGCCCUCAUCCUGCAAAGUGACUGACAGGAUAUGGGGCGGAGAGAGGGGAAGACGUGCCGCAAACGGGCCAACAGGCUGGGGCCUGAACCCGAACCCACAACAUCCGGGCCGAGGACUGCAGCCUGCGCACAUCGGCCAUUCACCUAACGUUAAAAUAUUGCCUUGCAGUUCUUCACCUGAGCAAUAGAGGUGCUGUGGCAAGAGCCAUGUAAUGCUAAAUCAGCUCAAAGCAACAGAGAAUUCUCCAAGAAAGAAGUAAACCAG